ensembl:lncRNA
AAAUCCCAGCUCCCAGCACUCCAGUUACAGUUCUCCUGUCCUAUCCACCUUGUGACUAUGGUUCUGGAGCCUUCUUCUGCUGCAAAAGUGUUCACGAAAAGCUAUGCAUGUGCUUCUGGCUUUCCUCAGCUUGGCAACAGAUGCAUCAGUACUGAAACUCAGGCAUGCUGGAAAAGGAAAAUUAUCCAUUCCAUAACUCUAGGCUUAUCUGUGAUCCAGCUCUGAGCCCCCUGAAACUUUGCCCCAGCUUUCUGAAACAUCUGUUAUAGAGCAAACAUACAUCACAGCUGUUCUGUGGUGUUUAAAGGACAGAGGCACCUGAACUAUCGCUCCCCUGCCAUCAGUUUCCAAUGAAUGAAAACCAUCUUGCAGACACAAUGUUGCUGAUCACCAAACACAGGGCAGGAUUGUUGCUUGUUUCCUAUUCUCUAACAGGGGCGCACCAAAAAUAGAAACAGCUGCAUCUUUCAAUUGGGUGAGAUUUGAAUAAUGCUGCUGUGAUUGAAAUAAAAUGGGGAAGCCGUGUGGAGUGGGGGCUCAGUCGGACAAGUGCAAAUGAGACCACAUUUCAGCAUUCUAUGGCAGAUGUGAUUCCAAUUUCUCUGACCCUACGUUCAAGAAUAUUUGAAUCUGGGAUUGUAGCUUAUUCUUAUGAAGGCAGCAACACUGACACAAAGGAUCUCAGCAGGCUGCUCAGAGAAUGUCUCACAGCUGAUGCUGGCAAUGGACAGAUGCAGCAGAGCAGUGACUGCCAGAUGAUCUCAAUGAGAUUUUAAACCAAGAACAGAAGAGAGCUGUUUUUCUUCCUUAUUUCCCGUACCUUUGGAUGAUUUUACUGGAUUUAAUGAGUUUUACUGAAACUGGUAGAAUUUCCCAGAGUCCAAGUUUUCAAGUUUCUCACUACCAGCCAUUCAGAAACACCUGUCAGCUGUAAUUCUUAAGAAUUAUAUGUAUCUCUUGCAAUAUAGCAGAGUAGCCCCAAAUCCUGUCCCUUCUAUGAUGCUGUCUCCUGUGGUUCUUGCCUGUAAGACUGAACCUGCAGGCGUUUCUUAGCACAGGUGUUGAACCAGUGCACAACGAAGCUAGUAAUUAGGAGGAUUCUUUGAAAUGGCCAAAUGAAAAGCAAUUUCUGCACAUGAAAUGGAUGAAUGAAACAAUCACAGUAAUUUAGGUCUGGCAGUAGCUACACACAUAUGAGGUCCUGAUGUAGGUUGGAGCUGUGGCUAACACAGGAUCACUGCUGGUGUCGUGCUCCAUAGGAAGCAACUGUGGUCCUGCAGAGAUGCAGGGCUGUGGUCCUGUUGUGGUGCUGGAGUGCAUUUGUUCCCUCAGCUCUGCUCAGCACUGGAUGGAAGACUUUGGAGGACAUUUCUGUCUCUGUUUGUUACCAAUCCACGAUGAUCCCAGGACAACUGCCCAAGGACAGACAUUUUUAGAAGCACAAUCGCUCCCUAUGAAGUUGGUGGACUCGCACUGUAGGACUCACUCCUGCCCUUGUCUGCAGGACUUUUCUGCUGGAUUCGGGCAAUUGUUUCUUUCACUGUUGUUUGACUUGUUCUUAUACUGCCUCUCUGAGCUGCUCUGUGUGCUUUUGCCACUGACCUAUUUAGCCUUCCAAUACACAUUUUAAUCCCUUGAUGUGAACGUAUGCUUUGAGACCAUGAGGAGUUAUUGUUGGGUACUUGGCGAUCGCUGGUGGCCCUUUGGCCUG